GAGAUCUACCACUUUAGACACACAUUUCUCAAGUAACGCACUAUAGAAAUGAUCCCUGAAAGUAUAGUCUCGCUAUCCAUGAUGACGAUUCAAGAUAUUCCCAUUCAGAGCAUGAAUCUGGUGGUUAGAAAUGACUUUGCUCAUUUUUCUUCCACCUUGAUGACUGUUCCUUGUUCUUCAAUGAACGUGGAUGAAGGGAAUAUGUUCUGAGUGGA
ensembl:snoRNA U3 Small nucleolar RNA U3